UACCAGCACCCCGAGUGGUCGGGACGAUUAUUGGGCCUAAAGCAUCCGUAGCCGGUCCUGCAAGUCUUCCGUUAAAUCCAGCUGCUCAACAGAUGGGCUGCGGGAGAUACUACAGGGCUAGGAGGCGGGAGAGGCAAGCGGUACUUUAUGGGUAGGGGUAAAAUCCGCUGAUCCAUAGAAGACCACCAGUGGCGAAGGCGGCUUGCCAGAACGCGCUCGACGGUGAGGGAUGAAAGCUGGGGGGAGCAAACAGG
rnacentral:rRNA from 1 species